UUUGGAGAUUGACUUAGAAGC
rnacentral:miRNA from 1 species